GGGGGCGACUUGGCUUCGACGGCGGUGACGAAAUCAAAGGUGCAUGUCGAGAGGGUAGUGACUCUCGUAAAUCAAUCGCUGCAACUUUCAUAGUUGCUAACGAAGAUAACUACGCACUAGCAGCCUAAAAUACCUGCUAACCCUGGUCACUUGGUGCUUGUAACGGGCGACCGGGGGCACGUUUUACAAGAUCGCGACGGCCGUCGCCUCGACGUUUGUUGCUAAAACUAAAGAGGAUCGCUUGUCGACGCCCUGUUCGUUGGGCCGUCAGUGAGUUAAAUCAAUAAACGUAACUAAACAUGUAGAGCUAAUGACGGAGUGCUGACGGACGCGGGUUCGAUUCCCGCCGCCUCCACCA
rnacentral:tmRNA from 1 species